rnacentral:rRNA from 1 species
UACGGGGGGAGCAAGCGUUGUUCGGAUUUACUGGGCGUAAAGGGCGGGUAGGCGGCCACCGCAAGUCAGUUGUGAAAUCUCUGGGCUUAACCCAGAAAGGUCAACUGAUACUGCGGGGCUAGAGUGCAGAAGGGGCAACUGGAAUUCUCGGUGUAGCGGUGAAAUGCGUAGAUAUCGAGAGGAACACCUGCGGCGAAGGCGGGUUGCUGGGCUGACACUGACGCUGAGUGCGCGAAAGCCAGGGGAGCGAACGGG